rnacentral:rRNA from 1 species
AUUGAACGCUGGCGGCAUGCCUUACACAUGCAAGUCGAACGGCAGCACGGACUUCGGUCUGGUGGCGAGUGGCGAACGGGUGAGUAAUGUAUCGGAACGUACCUUUCAGUGGGGGAUAACGUAGCGAAAGUUACGCUAAUACCGCAUAUUCUGUGAGCAGGAAAGCAGGGGAUCGCAAGACCUUGCGCUGAUUGAGCGGCCGAUAUCAGAUUAGCUAGUUGGUGGGGUAAAGGCCUACCAAGGCUACGAUCUGUAGCGGGUCUGAGAGGAUGAUCCGCCACACUGGAACUGAGACACGGUCCAGACUCCUACGGGAGGCAGCAGUGGGGAAUUUUGGACAAUGGGCGCAAGCCUGAUCCAGCCAUGCCGCGUGCGGGAAGAA